UGGGGAAUCUUGGACAAUGGGGGCAACCCUGAUCCAGCGAUGCCGCGUGGGUGAAGAAGGCCUUCGGGUUGUAAAGCCCUUUAGGCUGGGACGAAGGGUAUGGGACGAAUAAUCCUGUACUUUGACGGUACCAGCAGAAUAAGCACCGGCAAACUCUGUGCCAGCAGCCGCGGUAAUACAGAGGGUGCAAGCGUUAAUCGGAUUUACUGGGCGUAAAGGGCGCGUAGGCGGUGAUGUGAGUGUGAUGUGAAAGCCCCGGGCUUAACCUGGGAAGUGCAUCGCAAACGACAUGACUGGAGUAGAUGAGAGGGUGGCGGAAUUUCCGGUGUAGCGGUGAAAUGCGUAGAGAUCGGAAGGAACGUCAAUGGCGAAGGCAGCCACCUGGCAUCAUACUGACGCU
rnacentral:rRNA from 1 species